rnacentral:lncRNA from 1 species
GUGCACAACCUGUACUGUCAGAUGAGACCAUUGAAGUGGAAUCAUUGGUUUGUUCAAGAAGAGGAGCCAUCAAUAGCAGUAGCAUGGAUUAGUUUACCAGACUUGCCGCCUAAUUUCUUUGCUAGAGAAGCUGUCUUCUCACUAGCCUCUGCAAUUGGAAAACCAUUAACAGUAGAUAUGGCGACACAAAACAAGACUAGACCUAGUUGUGCAAAGGUUAAAGUGGAGGUAGAUUUAUUAGCACAACAUCCACAGAGGAUUAAAAUUGCAGAAGAGGAUGAAGUCACAGGAAAAGUAAAUUCUAAAUGGAUCACAAUCAAGUAUGACUAUUUGCCAAAAUAUUGCAGUCAUUGUAAGCUACAGGGACAUAGAGAAACUGAAUGUCGUGCAUUACACCCUGGAAAGGCAAUUUAGAGAAAACCUUGAGGAAAAUAAGGACAAACUGGGAACAACAGCAACUCAGACCAAAAUACUAAGUAGUGGUAAAGUUGUUGGUAACACACAAAGAAAGCAGGAAUGGAUGCAGCGAAGAAAUAAAUAUGCAAAAGAUAAAAGGGGAAGGAUAAUAGAGAUGUACAAUGUCAAAAAUAAAGUGGAAGCUGAAAAACUUACCGAAGGAGUCAGCACUAAUAAUGCCUUUGCAACUCUGCUAAACAAUGACAAAUUAGAUGAUACAAGGGAUGCUACAAGUGCAACAAAGGGGACCAAGGAGACUGAAGAGAACAAGGACAGGGAAGAAGAACUUAGCAGCAACAAAUCUGAAGAAGAAAGAGACAUCAACAAGCAAAUGGGAACAAGGCAAUGGGUGGAUAUUAAUUUUAAAAAAGACAAAGGGACAGAGGAGAAUCAGAUAACUUAACCACAAGUUAGUUCUAACAGUAAACAUGAUGUAGGCAGUGAAACACCUACAAAUAACACAGGCACACAGGAGAAAAGCACAUGUGAAAUAAGUUCAAAGGAGAAAGUCAUUCAGAAAAAGAAAAUUCAAGGGGAAAAUAAGACAGAUGAGUUAGGGAACAGAGAGCAGACAACAAGUCAGAAUCAGCUAGAAUUAACAAAGCAACAGAACACAUAUGAUGAAGAAAGGAUAGAGGCAGUAGAUACAACAGAACGGGACAUUUUAGAUCCUGACAAGGAAGAAAUUGAUGCUUCCUUGGCAGAAAUAGAAAUGCAAAACAACAACAUUAGAAGUGAGAACAUUGAGAAGGAAACAUUGGAGAAGAAUAUAAAAGAGGUGGCUAAAGCAGGAGACAUUUCACCAAGACACACCAAGGGCAAUGGAGGAGAGUCAUCUAAAAAACAGUGGAAAAUCUCAAAAAGAUACUUCACAAGCAACAAGACAACUACCAAAGAGGCAAGCUGCCUCCAAAUACAGUCAUUAAUGACGAAUAAGAUCCUUCUAUGGAAUAUUAGGUCAGUCAAUACUCAACAAGCGUUUGAGAGACUGACUAAUUUAAAUAGAAGAAACAAUUACUGGUUAAUAGGUCUGAUGGAACCUUUUCAAGAUUCAUCAGAUUUGGAGAGAUAUAGAAGAAGAUUGGGUCAUGAUACUGCUUUGGUAAAUUGCUCUGGUCAAAUAUGGAUAUUCACAAAAGAUGUACAUGUAGUUGUUAUAGAAGACUCUACACAACAAAUGACAUUAAAAGUGGUACAUCAAAACAUGGGAGUUGAGGCAUUGGUCACUGUAGUGUAUGCAUCUUGUAAUGCAAUUAACAGGGAAGAGCUAUGGAACUCAAUACAACAUAUCUCUAGUCACUUUUCCUUACCAUGGUUGGUAGGAGGUGAUUUCAAUGUAAUACUUUCUCCUGAAGAAAAAUGGGUGGGUCGCCGAUCAAUUAUCAGGAAAAUGAAGAUUUUGCCAAUUGUAUUGCUACUAGUGGUCUAUAUGACCUGGGAUACACUGGAAGCACUUACACAUGGUGGAAUGGAAGAUCAGAGGAUGCAUGCAUCUUCAAAAGGUUAGAUAGAAUUUUGGGAAAUCAAAGAUUAAUGAACUUGUUUCCAACUAUGAAGAUCAAGCAUCUUAUUAAAAAAGGGUCAGAUCACUCUCCAUUAGUGUUGGAAUGUUCACAGAAUACUGAGGAAAUUAUCAAACCAUUCAAGUUCUUAAACUUUUGGACUAAACAUUCCUCUUUUGAAAAGCUAGUAGAGGAACAUUGGAGACUUGAUUUUUAUGGUAACCCUUUUUACAUGGUACAACAGAAAUUGAAGAGGCUGAAACAUGCUCUCAGAUCUUGAAGUAAGGAAACAUAUGGUGAUGUGUUUCAGCAAAUUGCAACACUAGAGGAUGUAAUACAGGAUCAUGAAGUCAGAUUUGAAAAAUCUCCAACCUUACAUAACAGAGAAGAGUUACAUAAAGCUGAAGCAAAAUUAAGCAGAUACUUACAUCUUGAAGAAGAGUACUGGAGACAUAAAUCAGGUCUGAAAUGGUUUCAAGAGGGAGAAAAUAAUACCAAAUUCUUUCAUUCAUUUGUAACGGGAAAAAGGAAAAAGUUGAAGCUAAAUAGAAUACAAAAUACUCAAGGAGAUUGGCUUACAGAGGAAAGAGACAUAGCUGCUGAAGCCAUAAGAUACUUUCAGGAGCAAUUUAUAGAGGAUCAAUCUCAAAAAGAUUUCUCUUUAGUAAAUCAUAUUCCUAGUUUGGUAACAGAGGAGCAAAAUCAAAAGCUGGAGGAAUUGCCAACAGAAGAAGAGGUUAAAGCAACAGUAUUUGGGUUAAAUAUAGAAAGUGCAUGUGGUCCAGAUGGGUUUACAGGUAUUUUCUAUUAGACAUGCUGGAACAUCAUAAAAGAAGACAUCAUUAGAAUGGUAAGGGCCUUCUUUGUAGGCCAAGAGGUUCCUAGAUAUAUUACUCACACAAAUUUGGUCUUAAUACCAAAAAAGGACCAGGUGCAUACCUAUGCAGAUGUAAGACCAAUUAGCCUGAGUAACUUCAGUAAUGAAAUAAUUUCUAGAGUUAUACAUGAGAGAUUAAAGAAUAUUCUGCCUACUAUCUUUUCUGGAAACCAGACAGGUUUUGUUAAAGGAAGAAAUAUAGUGGAAAAUAUUCUUUUGGCACAGGAGAUUAUAAGGGAUAUCAGGAUGAGGACAAAAACAACAAAUGUGGUAGUAAAACUAGAUAUGACCAAGGCAUAUGAUAGGCUAUCAUGGGUAUUCCUCAAUUUAGUUCUGAGUCAAUUUGGGUUCUCUGAAGGUUUAAUUGACAUGGUAUAUAGACUUCUGUCCAAUAACUGGUACUCAAUUUUGAUAAAUGGGCGGACUCAUGGAUUUUUCAAGUCAUCUAGAGGAGUCAAGCAGGGAGAUCCAUUAUCACCGGCUCUUUUUAUAAUUGCAGCAGAAGCACUAACGAGGGGUUUAAAUGCACUAUGGGAAAAUGAAGAAUUCAAAGGAUAUGGUCUACCCAAAUGGAGCCCAAAUAUUAACCAUCUUUCUUAUGCAGAUGAUACAAUUUUUUUGUAUCGGCCGACAAGAAAUCAAUGAAGAUGAUGAUUAGGGUACUAAGAAGAUAUGAAAACUCUUCAGGUCAGCUAAUUAAUUUGGAGAAGAGUGCAUUUUAUGUACAUGAAAAGGUGAAUUCAAGACUGAUAGGAAGCAUCAAAAGACUAACCAACAUAAAACAUGGAGCUUUCCCUUUCACAUACUUGGGAUGUCCUCAGGGCCGUCUUAACCCCUAGGCCACUAAAGCCAUCGCUUGGGGCCCCAUAUUUUUUGGGGGCCCCAUUUUUAAAAAACAAUUACUUGUAUAUAUUAUUUUUUUUUAAAUAAAUUAUAUGUACUAUGAGUGCUAUGAUUUCUACUAAAGAAAUUGCAUAUGACAUGAAUAUACAUAUAAUUUUCGUAAGAAACAAUUUGAUGAAAAUAUGGAUAACGAAAUCACUAAGUCCCUCGAAGAAUCUUUAGAGUUGAUUACGUUAUAUAUGUAUAGAAGAUCAAACUAUUUUUUUACUUUAAAAUAGAUUUGAACCAAUUGAAGCAUAUAAAAAUAUUUUUGAUUUCUUAUUUAGUGGUAAAAUAUUGAGAUUACUAGAUGAUGAAAUUUUUUAAAAAAAAUUGUCUUAACCUUGAACUUUCUUUAACACAUACUAGUUAUUCUGAAUUGAUGGUUUAGAUUUAUUUUUUGAAGUAAAAGUGUUAAAGAUAAACAAUACAAGUAGAAGAUAAUGAUGUAAUGAAAAUACUCAAUCAAAUAAAAGAUUUGAUUCUUUUCCAAAUACACAUAUUGUGUUAACAGUUCAUAACCAUUGCCUCAACCAAAAUUUUCUCCGUUCGAAAUUAAAAUUGAUUAAAUUUUCUUUAAGAUCAACAAUGUCUCAAGAUAGAUUGAAUGAAUUAGCUAUAUUAUCAUUUGAAAAGGAAUUAUUAAAAUAAAUUGAUUAUAAAACAAUACUUAAUAACUUUGCAUCUGAAAUAGCUAGAAAAGUAUAUUUUAAAUAAAACUACAUAUGAUGAAAAAAAAAUUUAGGGCCCCUCUCUUAAGUUUCGCUUUAGGCCCCCAAUGUUGUUGAGUCGGCCCUGGAUGUCCUAUAUUCUAUGGAAGAAAUAAGACUUCCCACUAUGAUUCAGUGAUUAAAAAGGUGGGAAAAAGAAUACAGGUAUGGCAAGGAAAAAUGUUAUCAUUUGGUGGAAGAGCUGUUCUAAUUUCACCUGUGUUGCAGAGUAUUCCUAUACAUUUAUUGUCUGCUUUAUCUCCUCCAAAAGGGGUGAUAAGACAGAUACAUAUGAUGCUCAAUAGAUUUUUCUAGAAAAACACUACAGACAGUAAAAGGAAGCACUGGAUAAGUUGGUAUAAAUUAUGUCUACCUAAGGAGGAAGGAGGAGUUGGUUUUAGAUCUCUUGCUGAUAUAUCUAAAGCACUAUUUUGCAGAUUAUGGUUGAUUUUCAGAACAAAGACUACACUUUGGAGCUCUUACAUGGGUAAUAAAUACUGUAAAAAGUUACAUCCAGUAAUUGCUCAGAGUAAGGGAGCAUCCGCCACAUGGAGAACAAUGAUCAAGAUUAGAGAGUUGGUAGAACAUCAUAUAUGGUGGAAAAUUAAAGGGGGAGACUCAAGUUUUUGGUUCGAUAACUCAAGGAGCGCUAUAUUACUUCAGUCAUGAAACCAGUCAAGAGGAAGAGAUAGAGGUCAAGGAAUUUGCAGAUCAACUGGGUUGGAAAGUAGACAAACUAAGAAAGUGGUUAUCAGAAGAUAUUGUACAACACAUAUUGAAAACAAUCCUAAGUCCAAUUUUUGAUGGUAUACUGGACAGAACAUGGUGGAUGCUGAAACAGAGGAAAGAGAGGCAAAGUAGAUUUCUUAACAUGUGGGAAAAGAGACUUCCAUUAAAAAUAUCUUUCUUUAUUUGGAGAGUUUGGAAAUAUAGAAUACCCAGUGAUGAUAUAUUGAUGAGAAUGGGGUGACAUGUCAUCAAGAUGUUGGUGCUGUGAUAAUCCAACACAAGAAACUGUGGAACAUCUUUUUUUUAACCUCUCCAAUAGCUUAUAAGCUAUGGAGGAUAUGUUUGCUCAUUUUGCCGGUCUAAGAUUAGAAGGACAAAACCUAAAUCAAGUGCUAAUAACAUGGUGGACAGCACACGCAGGUCACAAACUUCAACAAAUUAUGAAGAUUAUGCCUGCAAUUAUACUUUGGGAAAUAUGGAAAAGAAGAAAUAUCAUCAGACAUGGGGAAACAUGACAUAUAAUAAACUUUUCUAUCAGGUUACCCUCAAUGUAUGGCAAUUUGCAAGAUCAAGUUUUCCAAGUCUGAAACAAUUUCCCACCAACUGGUCAGAUAUGGUAAAAUUCUUAGAGAAUUACAAGCCAAGGAUAUACUACAAAAAGAUCAUAUGGAUGCCCCCAAAUUCAAAUACUAUAAAAUGCAACACAGAUGGAGCAAGUAAGGGCAAUCCAGGCAAGAGCUCUCAUGCUUAUUGCCUAAGGGAUCGGGAAGAAAAUUUAAUCUAUGCACAAGCAGAGGAGAUACCAGAUACAACUAACGUGGAAGCAGAAGCAGUGACAAUAAAGGAAACAAUAUAUCACCGUACAAGAAGGGGAUUUUCGAGAGUAACAAUAGAAACCGAUUCAUUGCUAUUGAAAAACAUACUACAAGGAAAUUGAGAGAUACCAUGAAACAUUAGAAUUAUAGUGGAAGAGACUCUAUCACUGAUGCAAUAUUCUACGAUUAAUAUUGAACGCAUUUAUAGGGAAGGGAAUAUAUUAGCCGACUACUUAGCUAAUUAUGCAUUUGAAGUGACAGGGAGACAACAAUUUAAUACAUACAGCGAGCUACCAUUGCAGGGGAGGAAAAUCCUCAACUUGGACAAACACUCGGUACCGAAUGUAAGAAUCAAGAACAAGGCAAUCAGGUGAACAACACACAAAUAAUUGAUGAUCAGGAGUAGAUACAUUACUAGAAGACAGUAAAGAGUUCACAGGCACGGCAAACGAAGCCAGAGCACACAAGUCACAACUACGCUGCUCAUGGAAAACAAAGCCAGAGCACAACAACUACACUACUAACACAGGUUACAAAUCUAAAACAAGAUAAGUGUAAGGCGAAAAACAAGGGUAUGAGGACAAGAUUCAAAGAAGAUAACUCUGUCAUAGAUGAAACCAUACAACAACAAGUGACUACCUGGAAAAUCGACAAACAAAAAUGAAAACAAUUGAGAAAUGCAGAUUGAGGAAUUGAAAGGAAAGGAAAAAGGUGAACUUACUGGUUAAAUCCGCAGAAGCUCACGAUCUGCUUUGAGAGAGACAUGACUUUCCUAAUUUCAAAUGGUAAUUUUUGUGGCUUUGUUUUUUAUUUUAGCUUUAGUUUGUCUUUUACUUAGCUUUUGGGUCCACCACUAUUGGGUUGGGCAAAUCUCUCCUCUUUUUCACUUAAUC